rnacentral:misc_RNA from 1 species
AAGUAAAAGAUUUGCAGUAAAAUAUGAUUUUUUACAAAAUGAAGUCAGUCUGUCUAUUACUUUGUGCGCUUUUUGCUUUAGCAUUGGCCGAAUCAGAUGACAGAUUAUCAUGCUACAGCUGCAGUGGGAAAGAUAGUGGUUGUCCGGAACCAGCCACCUUAACUGACUUAGCGAACAUGGAUAUGACGUACUGCACAGGGGUUUUAGCUACUGGUUGUACUAAAUAUUCAGUGAAUUAUUUAAGUGGAGACGUUUACACGUUCAGAAGCUGUGCGCCCUUAAUCGUUGAUGAAAUCGACGGCACCGGUCUGAACUUCUGUGAUUUUAUUGCAAAAAUGUACGCUCCUUUGACAGAGGGAUCGCUUGUCAAAGGCGUCGAUUGUUAUAAUUGUACUACCGUAAACUGUAAUACAUAACAAUGAGCUGGAUGCAUUUAAAUAUAAUCUUAAGUUUAGGCAAGUUUGCAGUUGAUUUAUCGGAACAUUGAAAUACUUGGAUAAUCUGUCAAUUGACUGUUAGCCUCCGAGAUCACCCGAUCUGACACCGCCCGACUAUUAUCUGUAGGAUAGGAGAUGUUUCGUUCCCCAACAGAUACUUUACUAGAACACCUAGAAACGCAACUGAACUAAGGACUAAGAUCUGUUUGUUUUGUAAGCCAAUAAUUUUUAUUUUUUCCUUUUUUUAUAGCUGAUUAAUUUAUACUUGUGUUAGGAAUAGAAAUUAAUUUUAGAAUAAGCUAGGCUAAGACACAAAUGUACUAAACAAGAGCAGAAAAACCGAUUGGGUCGAUACCCUUUUUCUGUAGGAAAUAAAGAUUAUUUAUAUAUGUAUAUCUGUAGGGCUACAUAGAAAGUGUAGCUUACUCAAUUAAACCAGAAAUGAGCGAAUACAAAAUUUUGUGACUGCAACUGCAUCACGUUUUCAAACGUCUUCACUUAUUGAAAUAUUAAUAUACAGUGUUUUUUUUAUUAUUAAUUUUAUGAAAAAAAAUCGUUUAUAAAGAGUUCUGCAGUUCUUCCAGUUGUAUAUAAAGAGCAAAUAUUACAAACGAAAUAUGUAUGUAAACUAUUUUGAAGAUUAUUCUACAGCAAAUUUCGGUAGUGGACCAGACAACCAAAAAAAUGUAUUCAUUUCAUCCACCAAAUAAAAAGUUCUGGUAGUUUUUGUACCAA